rnacentral:rRNA from 1 species
CCUACGGGUCGCAGCAGUGGGGAAUAUUGCACAAUGGGGGAAACCCUGAUGCAGCGACGCCGCGUGAGUGAAGAAGUAAUUCGUUAUGUAAAGCUCUAUCAGCAGGGAAGAAAAUGACGGUACCUGAGUAAGAAGCCCCGGCUAACUACGUGCCAGCAGCCGCGGUAAGACGUAGGGGGCAAGCGUUAUCCGGAUUUACUGGGUGUAAAGGGAGCGUAGACGGCAGUGCAAGUCUGGAGUGAAAGGCGGGGGCUCAACCCCCGGACUGCUCUGGAAACUGUACGGCUGGAGUGCAGGAGAGGUAAGUGGAAUUCCUAGUGUAGCGGUGAAAUGCGUAGAUAUUAGGAGGAACACCAGUGGCGAAGGCGGCUUACUGGACUGCGACUGACGUUGAGGCUCGAAAGCGUGGGGAGCGAACAGGAUUAGAUACCCCAGUAGUC